AUCGUUUUUCCCUUACCUGUACUUUUCAUUACUUAAUGAGGAUGGGGGAUCAAGCCAAAUGCGAGGAACAUCAAUAUAUCAUAGCACAAGUAAAAUAGAUGAUGCCCUAGUAAAGAACAAACCAGCACAUGAACAAUCCUCCAUUGCUAGUAGAAUCAAGACAAAGCAUAAGUUAGAAAAGCAAGUCAAGGCAUGCAAUUUUCUUUGCUUCUUUCACCUAAUUCAUGUUCCUUCCUUUCUAGUUGGCAGCCUGCUCACCGUCCAAGAAAAGUUCAAUACAUGGGAUAAAAUCAAAUCUAAACAUUUCUUAUCCCAGUCAUUAAG
rnacentral:misc_RNA from 1 species